UACAGAGGGUGCAAGCGUUGUUCGGAAUUAUUGGGCGUAAAGAGCUCGUAGGCGGUUUGGCAAGUCGGGUGUGAAAACUCCGGGCUCAACUCGGAGACGCCACUCGAUACUGCUAUGACUCGAGUCCGGUAGGGGAGUGCGGAAUUCCUGGUGUAGCGGUGAAAUGCGCAGAUAUCAGGAGGAACACCGGUGGCGAAGGCGGCACUCUGGGCCGGUACUGACGCUGAGGAGCGAAAGCGUGGGGAGCGAACAGG
rnacentral:rRNA from 1 species